GCCGUCUUAGCUCAAUGGCAGAGCAACGCUUUUGUAAAGCGAAGGUUCGCGGUUCAAGUCCGCGAGACGGCU
rnacentral:tRNA from 1 species